rnacentral:rRNA from 1 species
GAUGAACGCUAGCGGCAGGCUUAAUACAUGCAAGUCGAGGGGCAGCAUGAAUGUAGCAAUACAUUUGAUGGCGACCGGCAAACGGGUGCGGAACACGUACACAACCUUCCUAUAAGUGGGGAAUAGCCCAGAGAAAUUUGGAUUAAUACCCCGUAACAUAAUGAUGUGGCAUCACAUUAUUAUUAUAGCUACGGCGCUUGUUGAUGGGUGUGCGGCUGAUUAGAUAGUUGGCGGGGUAACGGCCCACCAAGUCUACGAUCAGUAGCUGAUGUGAGAGAAUGAUCAGCCACACGGGCACUGAGACACGGGCCCGACUCCUACGGGAGGCAGCAGUAAGGAAUAUUGGUCAAGGGACGCAAGUCUGAACCAGCCAUGCCGCGUGAAGGAUUAAGGUCCUCUGGAUUGUAAACUUCUUUUAUCUGGGACGAAAAAAGGCUAUUCUUAGUCACUUGACGGUACCAGAUGAAUAAGCACCGGAUAACUCCGUGCCAGCAGCCGCCGUAACAC